GAGGCAAUCCAGUAAAGAACAUCCCUCCAUGGCCUCUGCAUCAGCUCCUGCUUCCUGACCUGCUUGAGUUCCAGUCCUGGCUUCCUUGGUGAUGAACAGCAGUAUGGAAGUGUAAGCCGAAUAAACCCUUUCCUCCCCAACUUGUUUCUUGGUCAUGAUGUUUGUGCAGGAAUAGAAACCCUGACUAAGACAAAUUGGUACCAGUGGAGUGGGGUAUUCCUGUGACAACCUGACCAUGUUUUGGGGAGGACUGUGGAAGGACUUUGGAACUUUGGGCUUGAAGAUCCAUCCGUUGUUAAGAGCUCUGUUGGAUGUUGUGUAGGAGCUUGGAAGAUAAUGUUGAGAACACUGCAGAAGAUGGAGCUCUGGUGUGUGAAAUUUCAGAGGGAAAAUUAAAGACUCUUUUCAGGGCCAUUGCUGUUUUGAAUGUGAAGAUUCUGUAGUUCUGGUUAGCUGGGGCUGAAGAAUCAGCUGUGAUUAACAAGAUGCCAGAACUACCAAAGCAAAAACUUUGCAUUACUGGGACUAUUGAUGCUGGUUAGCUGGAGCUAAGAAAUUAGCGGUGAUUAAGAAGAGACCAGCAUCAUUGAGGUGACAUCUUCUGGGAAGUGUUUUCUGAAAGCACAAAGAGGCUGUGUUCCAGAGAUGGCCAAGGUUGUACUCCUGCUGCAGCAGGACUUGGUAAUAUGUAAGGGUCACCCAGGUGGUACUGGUUUUGAAGGCAUGAAGGGGUCACGCAAAGCAGCCGAGGCUCGGCACUGUGAGAGGCCAUGGAAGGCCACUGGUGAAGGUGCAGCCUCAGUUACAAUUGAAGGCCCAGGACUGAAGGGGUCAUGCAGUGUUUUGGAGAUGCCAGUACCAUGAGAUGACCACCAAGAACAGCAGCAGCAGUGGAGUACAGGCAUCUGGAGCCUAGAGGAUGACGCAUGUGCUACAAAGGGCCUGGCUGGAGAAGUGACCCAAGCCCUUGGAGGAGCCCAGAAGAUCAUUCUGCUCCUGGGUGGGCUCCUGCACAUACAAGAAUGAGGAUGCAUCCCCUGCAAGAAAAUCUGCUGCUCCUUCUGCCCCGUGGACUGAAAGACGUGCUUCCAGGGCUGCAUCUGCAAAGAGGCUUUGAGACAAGUGCAGCUGUUGCCCGUGAAGCCCCCACAGCUGUGUAAAUAGGACCAGGCUGAUCUUGAAAUCACAGAUAUUGCAGUCUCUGCAUCUUCUUCCAGAAUGCUGGAAUUAAGGACAUGUGCUACCACACCCACCUACAUAGUGGCCUCACCCCUUUGUUAGCUGUUUGCUGCAUCCUGCAGACACACCUGCUUUGGGUAUCAGCUCAUCUGCUCAUUUUCUGUACUGCCACCUAGAGACAGGAACCUAACAUGGCUGUCCUCUGAAAGGCUCCACCCAGCAACUGACUCAGACAGGUGCUCUGCCACCCACCCACCUACUCCUGCCCACCUGCGCUGGCAUUCCCGAACACUGGAGAAUUGAGCCUCCACAGGACCAAGGGCCUCUCCUCCCAUUGAUGUCCAACAAGGCCAUCCUCAUCUACAUACGCGACUGGAGCCAUGGAUUGUGCCCUGUGGAAUUUGGUUUUUAGAUGAACCUUCAAAUCUGAACAGGAAAUUCCAAAUGCUGGCAUGGGACCAGCUAGCAAGAAUUUGCUUUCUGUUCACUGGAAUUGCCUCUUGCUAAGAAUGAAGACAACCCAUUUUGGAUACCAGAAAGACUCACCCGAAAAAUCCAGACUGACCAAGGGAAUACUGAUGUCCCUCGUCUUGGUGAUGUCCAGGGCGACAAUAAUAAAGAGAGAGCAGCGUUGGGGGAUAAUGUCGAUAUUUCCACUCCCAAUGCCGUAUAUGUUACAGAAUUGGACGGCUGAAUUUGAACAGAUCCUUCGGGAAUUGAGACUUCAGGUCAACUCCACGCGCUUGGACCUGUCCCUGAUCAAAGGAUUACCCAAUUGGAUCUCCUCAGCAUUUUCCUUCUUUAAAGAAUGGGUGGGAUUGAUAUUAUUUGGAGAUACACUUUGCUGUGGAUUAGUGUUGCUUCUUUGGUUGGUCUGUAAGCUUAAGGCCCAAACUAGGAGAGACAAGGUGGUUAUUGCCCAGGCGCUUGCAGGACUAGAACAUGGUGCUUCCCCUGAUUUAUGGUUAUCUAUGCUUAAGCAAUAGGUCGCUGGCCAUUCAGCUCUUGCACCCCACCAGGCUAGUCUCAUUGCACGGGAUAGAGUGAGUGUGCUUCAGCAGCCCGAGAGAGUUGCACGGCUAAGCACUGCAGUAGAAGGGCUCUGCGGCAUAUAUGAGCCUAUUCUAGGGAGACAUGUCAUCUUUCAAGAAGGUUGAGUGUUCAAGUGUCCUUCCUCCAGGAAAAACAACACGGGACCAGACCAGGACCCCUCUAGGUGAUGAGCCUGGAAGGAGGUUAUGUGUACGGCUCCUUUACCUGCACACUGGGGAUUUGACCUCUAUCUCCACUCUCAUUAAUAUGGGUGGCCUAUUGCUCUUAUUAAUAGAAAAGGGGGAACUGUGGGAAGCCGCCCCCACAUUCGCCGUUACAAGAUGGCGCUGACAGCUGUGUUCUAAGUGGUAAACAAAUAAUCUGCGCAUGUGCCAAGGGUAGUUCUCCACCCCAUGUGCUCUGCCUUCCACAACUCAGCCAUGGGCUGCAGCCAAUCAGGGAGUGAUACGUCCUAGGCGAAGGAUAACUCUCCUUAAGAGGGACGGGGUUUCGCUUUCGUUUUUGGGCUUGGGGCUUGCACUCUUGCUCCUGAAGAUGUAAGCAAUAAAGUUUUGCCGC
rnacentral:lncRNA from 1 species